rnacentral:rRNA from 1 species
UACAGAGGGUGCGAGCGUUGUUCGGAAUUAUUGGGCGUAAAGCGCAUGUAGGCGGUUUGUUAAGUCGCGUGUGAAGCUUCCGGCUCAACCGGAAAAGUGCGCGCGAAACUGGCGAACUUGAGUGCCGGAGAGGGUGGCGGAAUUCCCGGUGUAGAGGUGAAAUUCGUAGAUAUCGGGAGGAACACCAGUGGCGAAGGCGGCUUACUGGUC